UUGAGGCUAGUUUGGUCUACAGAGUGAGCCUUAGGACAACCAGGGCUGCACAGAGAAACCCUGUUUUGAUAAAAGAGGACAAAAGCUUUGAGAAAAUGAUUAUCUUUGCUGUGACACCAAACCACUCCAUGCAGUGUUAUAAUUUUUUAACUCCUUGUGGCAGGAUCACCUGCCUAGAGUAAUUGCAGUGUGGAGUAUAUGCCUGAGUAGAGAAGCUCUGAAAUAACCGUGUUUGAAAGCCUUUCAUUCCAGCAAGGGCCAGCUCUCUUUUGAGUAGUAAACACAAGUACUAAACAGCCUUUGCCUGUUAAUUCUAGUUUGGGAUUAUUGCAGGGAGCAAAUUUGUUAUUAUAUCACAUUAGUUGUCACUGGAAAGUGAAUUUUGAAAUGAAACUUUGUUUAUUGCUAGAUCCAAGAGUUGAAACAUUUCAGGAAGUCAGAAAUAGCAUUUGAUUUAUUAGGAGCUAUCUUCUUGUGCACUGAAAAGUUUGUGGUUUAACAGAGCAUUCUAUACAGAAAAAUUCCCACAGUUGUUAAUUCUGCCCCAUAUUUUUUGGGAAAUCUUACCUAGGAAGAGAAUUGAUCCUCAUUUGCAAAGGCGGAUUUGUGGGACAGUAUCUGUGCCUACAAAUGACUUUUUAAAGCCUCACUUCAGAGUGGAGUAUAAAUAACAGUGUUGGUUUUUCUAGGCCAUUUUGAGUCUGUGUUUACUUCUCACCUUGUUUCUGAGGUCGAGUGAGCGUCAGCUACAUGAAGAGUCUCCGUGCUAAAAUACAUACCUGGGAGAAAGGCUAGUGAAAUUCUGUUUUUGUUUUUGGUUCUAUUUGUUUGUUUGUUUGUUUUCCUGGUGUGGAUUAGGUGUGUUUUAUGAGUAAGUUAUAUUCAAAAUGCCCUAGAACAUGUUCUUGUGUUCUCUCCCUCCCUCUCUCUCCCUCUCUCUCUCUUUCUCUCUCUUCUCUAAGGUGAUGUUGAGUUAAAAACUCUUUAAGUCAUUAGCACUUGCAAUUUUGCUAUAGGGUCAAAAGUUGGUGAUAACAUCAUUCUAAAGAUGUAAUAUUUUUAAAGGCUAUCUAGUUAUGAACUUU
rnacentral:lncRNA from 1 species